UACGUAGGGUGCGAGCGUUAAUCGGAAUUACUGGGCGUAAAGCGUGCGCAGGCGGUUUUGUAAGCCAGAUGUGAAAGCCCCGGGCUCAACCUGGGAAUGGCAUUUGGGACUGCAAGGCUGGAGUAUGGCAGAGGAGACUGGAAUUCCUGGUGUAGCGGUGAAAUGCGCAGAUAUCAGGAGGAACACCAGUGGCGAAGGCGGCUCACUGGCCCGAUACUGACGCUGAGGUGCGAAAGCGUGGGGAGCAAACAGG
rnacentral:rRNA from 1 species